rnacentral:rRNA from 1 species
GAUGAACGCUAGCGGGAGGCUUAAUACAUGCAAGUCGAACGGUAAGGUCCUAACCUAGUUAGGAUACACGAGUGGCGCACGGGUGAGUAACGCGUACACGACCUACCUUCAAGUCUGGGAUAGCCCUGGGAAACUGGGAUUAAUACCGGAUGUGAUAUCAGUUUUACAUUGAUAUUAAAGCUCAGGUGCUUGAAGAUGGGUGUGCGUACUAUUAGCUAGUUGGUAAGGUAACGGCUUACCAAGGCUACGAUAGUUAGGGGGCGUGAGAGCGUGACCCCCCACACGGGUACUGAGACACGGACCCGACUCCUACGGGAGGCAGCAGUAAGGAAUAUUGGACAAUGGGGGCAACCCUGAUCCAGCCAUCCCGCGUGUAGGAAGACUGCCCUAUGGGUUGUAAACUACUUUUAGAAGGGAAGAAAAGUAUGCAUUUAUGCGUAUCUGACGGUACCUUCAGAAUAAGCACCGGCUAACUCCG